rnacentral:rRNA from 1 species
GAUGAACGCUGGCGGCGUGCCUAAUACAUGCAAGUCGAGCGAAUGGAUUAAGAGCUUGCUCUUAUGAAGUUAGCGGCGGACGGGUGAGUAACACGUGGGUAACCUGCCCAUAAGACUGGGAUAACUCCGGGAAACCGGGGCUAAUACCGGAUAACAUUUUGAACCGCAUGGUUCGAAAUUGAAAGGCGGCUUCGGCUGUCACUUAUGGAUAGACUCGCGUCGCAUUAGCGAGUUGGUGAGGUAACGGCUCACCAAGGCAACGAUGCGUAGCCGACCUGAGAGGGUGAUCGGCCACACUGGGACUGAGACACGGCCCAGACUCCUACGGGAGGCAGCAGUAGGGAAUCUUCCGCAAUGGACGAAAGUCUGACGGAGCAACGCCGCGUGAGUGAUGAAGGCUUUCGGGUCGUAAAACUCUGUUGUUAGGGAAGAACAAGUGCUAGUUGAAUAAGCUGGCACCUUGACGGUACCUAACCAGAAAGCCACGGCUAACUACGUGCCAGCAGCCGCCGUAA